AAAAGAAAGAAGUUAUCAACGAAGUUAUCAACAAAGUUAUCAAAGGGGGCUGAAGUUUUGAAAGCUCGCUUGAUCCUAUGCUUUAGUUUAUAUUUAUCUGUUUAGGAUCAAAUAGUGUGUAGUUAAGCAUAAGUAGCUAUUCAAGUACUAAGAUAAUGCACACACACUUAACAUGAUUUUACAAACUUCAUCUAUGUCAAAAUAUUUUUUAA
rnacentral:lncRNA from 1 species